UCUGGCUUCUCUCUCUCGAUAGAUUCAUUCUCCUUUUUUUUCUUUUCUGUUUCUUCUUUUCAUCUUCUUCACUCUCAUCUCUCCCAUCUUCUUUCACUCUCAUCUCUCCCAUCUCUGUACGCUUGAAAGCUCACCAACUCUCUCAUGUCUCACUUUUCAGAUCUGGUUAACUAAGACAGGAUGAAGAUGAUGAUGGAGACGACGAAGAAGGAGACUCGCGGGGACGAAGCGCCGAGGCUCACCGGAGAAGAAGAUGCGUCGGAAGGUAGAUGAGGCAGAAGAAAGUGAUGUUUGGUCACCGCCGCCGAGCCAAAGCGACUCAAGCCAUUUUGCUUCCCGGAAUGGCCUAACCCCGCCGGAUCUAAAUCUGAAUGCUCCGGUGGAGUUUGGAAGAGGGAUAAGACUAUUCGAUGGAACUGCUAAUGCAUGUUAGGAGAUGAAUCGAGAACGAAACGUCACCGGAGUAACCGACAUAGACGCAACCAUCGGUCACGAAGACGAUGCCUAAUGGGCCAACCUUGUGACGUAUGAAGCCCAAAUAGAAAUAUCUCUUGCUUGUGAGCCCACCUGAAACAACAACGAAAGCGUAAAAAAAUAGAAAGAGGACAGGUGUCGGCCUGUCAGUCAUCGACUUUCCACGUGGCAUCACAGGAGUGUCACCAACAUUUUUAUAUAUAUAUAGAUAUAUUCUCGGUUAUAUAACAUUACAUUUGAAAGUCUUAUUUGAAGAUAUUUUUAUCUCUAAAAUGUAUUUAUGAUUUGCUUUUCAGAAGAUUUUUUCAUCGCAUUUUGUCAUAUUCCAAUUCCGAUUUACUUUUAUGGUUACCAAAGUUUUGUUGAUGGUGUUAACAAUUUAUAAACAUUGUCAUGUGAGUUAUAUUAAUACUAGAUUUUGAUCCGCGAUUAGAAAGCCCAUGUUUAUUUUUGAAAUUAAAUAACUUCUUCUUAAAAAGUUUCUAUAUAAGAUAAUGUAUAGGUUUGAGUAAAUUUACCCGGGUGCACUAAACCGUACUAAACUGAAAAAAAAAACAAAAUUAAGCUGAAUUUCAUAAAUAACCGAGCAUAUCAUAUAUCUUAACCAAAAAUAGAAACCGAACUGAGAACCAAAUGAAUACUUAAAUUUUUAAAAUACAAAUUAUAUACCUACAAAUAUUAAUUAUAUUUAAUUUUUAAAUAACCAAAUACCAUAAAAUACUAUUUAUAAACCAAAUUUUGCAAAAAAAAGUUCAGUGACUCGAAUAUUUUUAUUCAAAUAAUUAAUAGUUAACUAGUUAUCUAUAUCUUUUUCCAAACAACCUAAACUACCUGAUUUAAAGCGCAAGAUAUUUAGAAUUUUGAAAAUUCAAUAAAACGUAUCAUAUGCAUUACUAGAAUUAGUAAAAUAAAUAAACAUGUUCUAUUUAAACCAGAUUCCAUUUAAAUUCCCAACCCGUUUAGAUCCAUUUAAUAUUUUUCAUGAUAAGAUUAAUCAUUUAGUUCAUAUAUAAGACUGUAAGAUCAAAUCUUAAUAAUAGAUUGCAUGUAAUUAAUUAAAUUAAUAUUUUAUAGUUGAAUGGUUGACAUUAAGGCUUCUGGUUUCCAACUCACGUAAAAAUAAUAAAAAAUUAUUAUAUACCAGAAGAUUCUCCAUUAAAACAUAUGUUAAACAUAAUUAAACUAUUACAACAUAUGUUAAACAAAACUAAACCAUUGAAAACUUUAUACUAUUAAUGAAACUAUAUGUGGUAAUAAUCACGUCAUGUGUAAACAUGUGAAUAAUUUGUCUUAUAUUCAUAGGGAUUUAUUGUUAGAGUAAUUAUAUAAUAGAUUAUGGGAGAAUAAUAAAUGAGUUCAUUUAAAUUAGAGAAAAUUAUGUAAAGUGUUUAUAUAUUUAGAGAAAUAUAAG